rnacentral:lncRNA from 1 species
CCCCAGUGGCACCACAUUAUUUAUAUUUCCAACUAAUUAGCUUCAUAUACCAUUGCUGUGGUUUCAUAUUUUCUCACUUUAAUUAGUACUUUGUGGUUUAAAAAAUAUCACUUUAGUAUUCCGUGGUUUCGUUUUUCUCUUUCCGUUAUCCCUCCAUUAAUUUUUCCGUUAUAUCAGUGAUAAAAUUAAAACCAUAAAAUACUAAAGUAAAAAUACGGUAAGCCGUAGGGUAUUCAAGUGAAUGUUCAAUAAACCAUAUGUGAGAUAUUUAAAGUUUUUAUAUAUGAUUUAAUGGAGGCGCUGAUGGAAAGAAAAAAAUAAAAUCAUGGAGUACUGAAGUGAGGUAUUUUAAACCACAUGAUACUAAAGUGAGAAAGCACAACAAUUACAUGAAUAGUAUUUUAAAUUUUUUUAAAAAAAAAAUAUUAUACUGUUUUUUUUCAGAAAAGAUAUUUGAUUUGGUUGAGAGUUGAGACACAGUGA